GCCAACGUGGCAUAGUGAUUUGAACAUUGGACUGGGACUCUUGAAGCCAGAGUUCAAAUCUCUGCAUGGCCA